GAUGAUGCCUAUUACAUCCAGCAAUCCCAGGAAUCAAAAACCCUCUGGUCUGCAGCUGCCACCCUGCCAUACACGGCAAUUGCUAGUUCUUCAAGCCGUCUGCUAGGCAUCUUCCUGUGGUCAUUGAGUGCAACCUGCAAGUCAUUCAACAACCUGGUCUGAGAACCACACCUUUACAGGCUCCUUUAUGUGUGUUCUGUGCUGCAGGUUGAACACUGACUUUAUAGAAAGAUCACACCGAGAUGGUCUAAGGCACUGUUGUCGCUAGAAGGUAAAGAAGUCAAGGCUCCUCACCUGAGUUAUGGUGGCUAAAGGCCAGCAACAUUUUGAAGAAUACUUCAGAUUUCAUCCAGAAUCUAUCCCAUGUCUGGAGGCCCCUGUCCCACAUCCUUAGGUUUACUGACAAUUUGUCAACAAGAUGAAUUUCGUUCUUGGCACAGGUGGUACAUUCCGUUGGAGAAUGUGGCAGACAAUGCAAGGCCACUGCCGGGGUGCACAAUGACAAUUCCCCUCUUUUUUUUUUAAGACUCAGGAAGAUCCUGGAUUUCUUGAGACAUGAAAUGUGCCUGCAUUUACUGACAUUUUGUGCUACCAGAUUCUUCACUACCAUUCUAUAACACACAAGGACUUUUGAUACAACUCUCACUCCCCCCCCCCCCCACUUUUUAAGAAGCCUUUUUUUCACCCGCAGUUGUCACUGCUGUCUGCAUGGGCUCCAAGAAUGACCUCAGAUGAUUAUGUAAGUAUUGGAUUUAUUGGUAAGAAGGAACAAUAAAGAUUUCCUCAUGGCAAA